rnacentral:rRNA from 1 species
AGGCCUAACACAUGCAAGUCGAGGGGUAUAGUUCUUCGGAACUAGAGACCGGCGCACGGGUGCGUAACGCGUAUGCAAUCUACCUUGUACAGAGGGAUAGCCCAGAGAAAUUUGGAUUAAUACCUCAUAGUGUUAUUGAAUGGCAUCAUUUGAUAACUAAAGUUCCAACGGUACAAGAUGAGCAUGCGUCCCAUUAGUUAGUUGGUAAGGUAACGGCUUACCAAGACAAUGAUGGGUAGGGGUCCUGAGAGGGAGAUCCCCCACACUGGUACUGAGACACGGACCAGACUCCUACGGGAGGCAGCAGUGAGGAAUAUUGGACAAUGGGCGCAAGCCUGAUCCAGCCAUGCCGCGUGCAGGAUGACUGCCCUAUGGGUUGUAAACUGCUUUUAUACAGGAAGAAACACUGCUACGUGUAGCAGCUUGACGGUACUGUAGGAAUAAGGAUCGGCUAACUCCGUGCCAGCAGCCGCGGUAAUACGGAGGAUCCAAGCGUUAUCCGGAAUCAUUGGGUUUAAAGGG